rnacentral:lncRNA from 1 species
GGAAAUUCUGGGCUUCAUAGAAUGUGCUUUUCUGUUAUCCUGAAACUGAACAAGUUAAGGACUAUGAAGAUUCAUACUGCUAAGUGUUCAAAGUUUAUGAAUGAAGAGACUGUCAGGCUGAGUUCCAGAAAGGCCAAAUGUUCUGCUUGUAACACAGCUACACGGGGGACAGAACUACGUGACUCAUGGUCUCCAGCUUCCCAGGUCAGUUGCUGGCUUCUCUGCAGAGGACUGUGAAAAAUUCGA